GAUGAACGCUGGCGGCGUGCCUAAUACAUGCAAGUCGAGCGAAUGGAUUAAGAGCUUGCUCUUAUGAAGUUAGCGGCGGACGGGUGAGUAACACGUGGGUAACCUGCCCAUAAGACUGGGAUAACUCCGGGAAACCGGGGUUAGUACCGGAUAACAUUUUGAACCGCAUGGUUCGAAAUUGAAAGGCGGCUUCGGCUGUCACUUAUGGAUGGACCCGCGUCGCAUUAGCUAGUUGGUGAGGUAACGGCUCACCAAGGCAACGAUGCGUAGCCGACCUGAGAGGGUGAUCGGCCACACUGGGACUGCAACACGGCCCAGAAUCCUACGGGAGGCAGCAGUAGGGAAUCUUCCGCAAUGGACGAAAGUCUGACGGAGCAACGCCGCGUGAGUGAUGAAGGCUUUCGGGUCGUAAAACUCUGUUGUUAGGGAAGAACAAGUGCUAGUUGAAUAAGCUGGCACCUUGACGGUACCUAACCAGAAAGCCACGGCUAACUACGUGCCAGCAGCCGCCGCAG
rnacentral:rRNA from 1 species